rnacentral:tRNA from 1 species
UCCUGGUGGCUCAGACAGUAAUGAAUCUGCCUGCAAUGCAGGAGACCCAGGUUCAAUUCCUGAGUCAGGAA